rnacentral:ncRNA from 2 species
CGAUGAGAUAGAGGCGCAAUAUAAAAAUAGUACACUAUUGGAGUUGACUACGCAGAUAAUAGUGGAAAGGGUUAUAUUGCCGAAGUGGGUUUCAGCGUUUGUCAGCGCUUCCUUACUGGUAUAUCUUUGAAUAAGAGAUAUACUGUCAUGUCUUUCACGUGAUGAGCUGUUGAUCGA